UCGAACUACCAUCGGUGCGUCGAUGCGCCAUGGAAGUAACGAACGAAUGUGAAAGGUCGGCGUUCGAGCGACGGGUGAAAACCUUAGCGAGACGCCGGCCGCGUCGGCGACGAUCGACCGACCGCCGACUUUGUCGGUCGUAGUCGUCGUCGACGUGUAUUCUGGCUUCGUUGGUGGCGACCGUGCGGGUGCCGUUACGUCGGCGUUGAGAAUCGUCCGUCCGCCUUUGACGACGAUCACCCGCGUCGGUUCAACUCUUUCGACGUUUUGUCGUCGUCGUCCGUCUCGCUCGCCGUAGAGCGGCGGCGGCGGCGGCUGACGUCGGUUAGGGAUUUCGGGUACCUAGCGAUUCGUCCGGCGGCCCCGCCGAUUGGGCAUCCGGCGAAUCGGGAAGCUAGCCGCGCGAGGCUUAAAGAACCACUGCCGACUUGUCGUGGUCGCCCGUCUUCCCAUCUUUGUCCACGCCUAGGACGUUUACUACGCUACGGUUAAUACGUCGUCGUUCCGUCGUAUUAUCAAAAGUGCGCGGAGUGUAAAACUGUUA
rnacentral:misc_RNA from 1 species